AUGAAUGCGUACACAGCGGCCGAGGACAAACUUCUUUGCAAGUGUGGGCGUGAUAUUGGACAAGACCCCAAGACGGGCACCGAGCAAAAGCAUUCAACCUUUUGGAUUCGUGUCCACCGAGAGUUUCAUGAGCGCAAGAAGUUGCCACCUUACCAAUUUGUGAGCACGCGCGGGUGGGUCUCCAUUUCCAAGCGGUGGAGGGUGAUCCAACAAAGUGCAACAAGUUUUGCGCCACUCUUGAGAGCGUCAAGGCCCGCCCCAUGA
rnacentral:rRNA from 1 species